rnacentral:lncRNA from 10 species
AAACUCUGUCUCAGAAAAAAAAAAAAAAAAAGCGACAAAUUGAAAAUGCAUCUAAUACACCUAACCUAACAAACAUCAUAGCUUAGCCUACCUUAAACAUGCCUGGAACACUUACAUUGGCCUGCAGUUGGGCAAAAUUACCUGGCAACACAGUACAGUGUAGAGUAUUGGUUGUUUGCUGUCAUGAUCAUGUGGCAGACUGGGAGCUGCGGCUUACUGCUGAUGCCCAGCAUCAUGAGAAAGUAUCACCCUGCAUAUCACUAGCCUGGGAAAAGAUCAAAAGUCAAAAUUCCAACUAUGGUUUCUACUGAAUGUUUUUGUAUCAUCUUAAAGUAGAAAAACUUGAACCAUCUUAAGUCAGUACAUUGUACCAUCUGUAUUACAAUGAUUACUCUGGCUUUCUCUGAAUUGUUACACUCUUUAAAUUUCUAAGUACCUAAAACAUUAUAGUAUCAACAUGUCUCUACUCUAUUUUCUGUAACUUUUACAGCAUAAGAAAUGUGCUUCAAAGGCCUCCAUGGUUUUAGAAAAAUAAGGGGUUUCCCUCCCUGCUAGGAAAUGUGUCAACAAGGUACAUUAAUUGUGUUAUAGUUCCCAAUCAUUUGCCCCUCUCUUCCAGUUUCAAUUAAGAGGUUUGCAUAGCUUGGCAUAUUGCCGUGUGACUUGCAUUGUCAUCCUGUAAGUGAAAUAUACUUUCUCUCCUCAAUGUCAGGGUUGGCCAUGGGACUGACUUCUGCCAGUAAUAAUGAACCAGAAGUAGUGCGAGUCCAUUCCUAGAGGAAGCUUUAUGUACUGUUGACUGUUUCCACCAGCUGCCCUGCUCUUUUCCCUUUGCUAUAAGAAUAACAUGUUUCCAACGUGACUCCUCUUUUUUCAGCCUGUGUUCUGGCAGGUGACAACAUGUAGAGCAGAGGCAAAGCUCAUCACAGCCAAGAAUACAAGCAAGAGCUAAACUAUAGUUAUUGUAUGCUACUAAGAUGUUAGGGUUAUUUAAUAAUAAUUUCAUAACCCAGUGAGAGUUGAUUAUAUACAUAUACAUAAGAGACUUUUAUUCUAAUAUACAAGUAUAUAAAUAAAAAUUCUACUCUUUUUGGUCUGACGCUAUUAAAAUUUCUUGUUAAGCAUAAUCUAAAAGAUUAUCUGCACCUGGGGGACAUCUUUCUUCUUUCUCCUCAGGUGGGCUUUAACUAUUACCAGAUGCCACACCUGAUGAGAGUUUGUCUCACGGAGUGUCUGUCAUUAUUCCCCCCACACAGCUGUUGAGAGGAGGGAAAAUGAAAUGUCUAGAAUUGAUCCUUUCAUCUUCCCUCUUUUUAAAAUGUGAAUUCUCAUCCUUUCUCCAAAUUCUUCUAUUAAUAAAAGCCCACAAAAUGAUGCAUAGUGGAAUUGAAGCAGAGGGCAUCCAAGCAGGACUUUCAUUCUUUCCGAAAUAAUUGAACUAAAGCAAAGUUGCCUGAGGAAUGAAAUGUGAUGUUCCCUCAUUGCACCCCACCACAUUGUGUGAACAUGCCUCUAAACAUCUCAUAAACAAUUUUGCUGCUACUAAUUAAAAAAUAAGAAAAAAGUUAUUUUUUUUAAUUUUUAAUUUUUAAAUUUAUUUUAAUUUUAAUUUUUUUUUUUUUUUUUUUUUGCUUUUAGGGGCAGCAAGUGAAAUUGCUUAAAAAAAUGGCAUGACUUGGCAGGCUAUAUUUCAUCAGAAUUAAAAACAAUUGCCUUUAACAUUACGAAAAGAUGAUUUUAAGAGAACUAGCUUAAAUGUACUAGAUUUUACUCUGACUUGGUAUAUAUACAGAUACAAUUUUUGUUUUUCCUUUUUUCCUCACACCAAUUCAACUUCAGUAAUUUAUUUCUCAUGCAAUUCAAAUUGCUGUCUUCCUUUUAGAAAUAGAUUAGUCAUAACAAAGGUAGAAAAGGAGAUCUAGGCCUGGGAGAUUUCAUAGACAUUCUUUAAGAAUAGCAGUCAUUUACUCUUGAAAAGGAAAAUUUUUUAGGGAGAAUGUAUAAAGGGAAGACAGCACCAGAGCUUCUUUGUAAUCUCCAUAUGGGAGCCCAUGAUUGCCAUGAUGUGACUCUGUUUUAAGGAGGACUAAUUACUUUUAGCAAGUAAACCUCUUUGGGUAGAAGUCAUGAAAGAAAUACUUUAUAUGAAAUCUCAUGAAACACGAGGGUGUAGUGGAAACAAUGCUAUGUGCUCACUGUGGUAGGCAGAAUAAUGCCUCCUCAAGAUACUCACAUCCGAAUCCCCAGAACCUGUGAGUAUGUUACCUCCUGUGGCAAAAGGGAUUUUGCAAACGUGAUUAGUAUCCUUGAGAUGAGGAUAGUAGCCUGGAUUAUCCAGGUGGCCCAAAUAUAAUCACACGAGUACUUAAAAUAGUUCUCAAAUAAGGCUGGAAAGGGACAUUAUUAGGGAAGAAAUAUCAGAGAUGAAAAGUUCCUGCCUUUGAAGAUGAAGGAAGGGACUACGACUCAACAAAUGUGGCCUCUAGAAGCUGGAGAAGGAUGACAUACAAAGAAGGACAUCGCUAGACGCAGGCUCCUUGACGCUCGACUUCCCAGCUUUCACAACUGUAAGACAUACACGGCUAUUUUUUAAUAAAUUGCCACUCUGUUAUAGCAGCACAAAACAAACUAAGACAGUACUUGAACAUAAACCUCCACAGAAAGUGGUUAAAUCAGGAUGGGCCAUGAUUGCUUUUGCUCCUGUGUUUUAAGUGUUUUCUUUGGUUAUGUAUUUUCAUUAUUGCCUUUGUUCGACUUCUAAUCAAGAGCACAGAAUUACACAAAAUGGCCUCACCGAAAAAUAGGAUGCCAGGCAGAAAAAGAUACAUAUAGAGUUUAAGGUUUUUAGCUGUUCAAAGAUUGAAGAGCUCAGAAGAUAUUUCGCUAUUAUUGGCAUGGUUAAGAUGACUUGGAUGUUUUGGUUUUUGAACAAAUGAAAUACAUGUGCAAUAUCUCAGUAGUUCCAAACAAUGAUUCUGCUUUUACUUUUCUGCUCCACUGAAAUGAGUGAUUUUACCGUCAGUGAAACCUAUGACAAGGUUGGAAGGGAGAUUGAUUUUUGGAUGAGCAGAGUGAUAUUAGAAAGCCGACUGACAUUCACAAAACAUAAAAUUGCCCAUCGUUGCACAUUAAAAUUACACUUAGGGCCAUCCAGGAACAAACAAAUAUUAAUUGAUUGAGUAUUGUGUGCCUACCAUUGACUCAAUCACAAAUAAUAUGAAAAAACACUUCUCUAUAGACAAAAAAUUAUACCUACUAUAAUAUUAUACUAAGCAUAUUUUAAUAAAAUAUGUUUAAUUCCUUACUAGACAUGGUAAGUAAGGAAUUAAACAUAUUUUGUUAAAAAUUGAACUUAGUGAUUUUUAAUGAUGAAAGGUUGGUAACUAAAAUCACAUGAAACAUGAGUUUGAGUAAGGUGAAAGAAAACCAUGCUUCAAUUGCUUGUUAGGCAAGUAUAAUUAUGGCUUUAGUUUUCAAUUACAUUCCUGGGAAAAGAGUAAUAUUUAUUGAUUUUUAAAUUACAACCAGUAAAAUUGACAACAGUUAUAUUUUUAUGAUGAGAAUAUUUUAAUGGUGACAUGUUUGAAAAUUGCAGACUUAACACAAAUACAUAUUUCCUCUUUCUCUUGACAUAUCAUUAAAAUAAUAGUAAAGCAAUAAAUUUAAUAUCAUAUUUCAGAACAAUAAAGAAAACUAAUGGCAGUCAUGAAAAAAUAAAAAAUAUUGGCAAGUUUCUGGAAGAUGAAAAGCAGUAGACAGUGUUGAGUGAUGACAGGUGAAAGCCGCAGUCUUGCUGACAAGCAGUGGGUGGUGGAACUGAUGAGGUAGCUAAACUGUCUGCGAGGCUGCACAGAAGACAGGGGCACAGCAGUGAUUGCCCAUGCCUACCCACGAUUCCAUCCCACAAAUGGGACCAUCUAGAAGUAGGUUUCUUUACUUUAAAACAACAUAGUAGGAUGACUUUGGCAGAAAUAGUAGGAAUUAAUAUCCCUAUUCCCAUUCUUGUAAUUAAGAGUUCCCCUGAAAAAUGAUCAUGUGCCUGGACCUUACUCAGAAGGUAUGUCCUCCAGGUGAAAAGCUCACACAGGUUUACGCAGCUAUAAGUCAACCUUCAUCUUAUUAGCAAAUGCAAAUCUUUAACCAUGUGCCACCACGCAAGACUAACAUGAACGGGAAAACCGAGAUAAACAAAGAACAACAACUUCUAAGAAAACAGAGUAAAAUAAAUGAUACUAACACAAAACCAAUAUUCUAAUUAUUAUCUCCUGCGCAGGGCUAAGUCUUUUAUCCAUUUAAAAAGAUGCAAAGAAGGCUAGGCGCGGUGGCUCACAACUGUAAUCCCGGCAUUUUUGGGGACCGAGGUGGGUGGAUUGCUUAAGUUCAGAAAUUCGAGGCCCCCAGCCUGGUGAACAUGGUGAAACACAGUCUCUACUAAAAACACAAAAAUGAGCCUGGCAUGGUGGUGCAUGCCUGUAAUCCCAGCUACUCGGGAGGCUGAGGCAGGAGACUCGCUUGACCCUGGGAGGCAGAGGUUGCAGUGAGCUGAGAGUAUCCCACUGCACUCCAGCUUGGGUGACAAAGCGAAGCUCUGUCUCAAAAAAAAAGCAAAGAAAACCAAAUAAUAACGAAGUAUCCAGGAUUUUCUGCACUAAAAACAAAAUUCAAAAUAAUUAAAAGAUAAGUUUGAAGAAAUCUCCCUGAAUAUAAAACAAAAGUACAAAGAAGUAAAUAUAUGAGAGAAAAGAUAAAAGAUGAAUAAGGAUCGGCUAACAAUGAGAAAGUUCAGAGAAAGUUAUGAAUAAUAAUAAAACUACAUGAAAAUUUCUCUGAGUUAAAGGCCUUCACAUUAAAAAAGCCUGAAUCGUAAACACAGUGAAUGGAAAAUUAUCAACACAUAGACACAUUGAGGUGAAAUUACAAAUCACCAAGAAUAAAGAGGAAAUCUUAAAAUUCUCCACAAACACAAAAACUCAAACUCACCUACAAUAGAAUAAGAAACAGCUUAACAUUAUUCUUCCUACAAGAUAAUGGAGCCAUAUCUCCUUGGCAUUAAGUGAACAAUGACUUUCAACCCAGCAUAUAUUUUACUGUAAGCUUUCUGGACUAAUUGAUUUUUGUUUUCUAGCUUCAAUUAAAUUGUUUUUAUUGAGAUAAUUGUAGAUCUGCAUGCAGUUACAAGAAAGAAUACAGUGAGUUCUCUUGAACACUUUUGACUCGUAAGGUUUUGUAAAAUAUAGAAAGAUAUCACAACCAGGGUAUUGAUGCUGCUACAAUCCAACAAUCUUAUUAAGAUUUCCUCGGUUAUUUUACCCUUGUGUGUGUGUGUGUCUGUGUGUGUGUGUGCACAUUAAGUCCUGUAUAAUUUUAUUACCUAUAUACGUUCAUGUACUUACAACUACAGUCAAAAUAAUGAAGAAUUCCAGCACCACAAGGUUCUCUCAUAUGCCUUUUUGUAACUAACCCCACUGUUCUUUUUUAUUCCACAUCCAUCUCUACCCCCUGACAACCACUAAUCUCCCCUACGCUGUUAAAUGUGUCAAUUUUUAUUUUGAUAAUUAUUGGACUACUUACAUUAUCUGUUUUAUCUUGACUGAGUUUUGGUAGUUUGUGGUAUUUGAAGAAUUGGUCCAUUUAUUUAAUUUGUAGUAGUUAUAAGUAUCCA